UACGUAGGGACCGAGCGUUGUCCGGAAUCAUUGGGCGUAAAGAGCGUGUAGGCGGCCACUUAAGUCCUGCGUGAAAUCUUGCGGCUCAACCGCAAGCGGUCGUGGGAAACUGGGUGGCUAGAGUGCGGGAGAGGAGAGUGGAAUUCCUGGUGUAGCGGUGGAAUGCGCAGAUAUCUGGAGGAACACCGGUGGCGAAGGCGGCAUUCUGGACCGAUAUUGACGCUGAGGAGCGAAAGCCAGGGGAGCAAACGGG
rnacentral:rRNA from 1 species